rnacentral:rRNA from 1 species
GAAGGGUGCAAGCGUUAUUCGGAAUCAUUGGGCGUAAAGGGUGUGUAGGCGGCGUAUUAAGUCACUUGUUAAAUCCUUCGGCUUAACCGAAGAGCAGCAAGCGAAACUGAUAUGCUAGAGGAUGGAAGAGAGAAGUGGAAUUCUCGGAGUAGCGGUAAAAUGCGUAGAUCUCGAGAGGAACACCGAUGGCGAAGGCAGCUUCUUGGUCCAUUUCUGACGCUGAGACACGAAAGCGUGGGGUAGCAAACAGGAUUAGAUACCCUGGUAGUCCACGCUGUAAACGAUGAUCACUAGACGUCAUUUCUGUUUUACGGAAUUGGUGUUGCAGCUAACGCGUUAAGUGAUCCGCCUGGGGAGCACGGUCGCAAGACUA